rnacentral:rRNA from 1 species
GAUGAACGCGGCGGCGUGCCUAAUACAUGCAAGUAGAACGCUGAAGCUUGGUGCUUGCACCGAGCGGAUGAGUUGCGAACGGGUGAGUAACGCGUAGGUAACCUGCCUCUUAACGGGGGAUAACUAUUGGAAACGAUAGCUAAUACCGCAUAAAAGACGAUAUCGCAUGAUGUUGAUUUGAAAGGUGCAAUUGCAUCACUAAGAGAUGGACUUGCGUUGUAUUAGCUAGUUGGUGAGGUAACGGCUCACCAAGGCGACGAUACAUAGCCGACCUGAGAGGGUGAUCGGCCACACUGGGAAUGAGACACGGCCCAGACUCCUACGGGAGGCAGCAGUAGGGAAUCUUCGGCAAUGGGGGCAACCCUGACCGAGCAACGCCGCGUGAGUGAAGAAGGUUUUCGGAUCGUAAAGCUCUGUUGUAAGAGAAGAACGAGUGUGAGAGUGGAAAGUUCACACUGUGACGGUAACUUACCAGAAAGGGACGGCUAACUACGUGCCAGCAGCCGCGGUAAUACGUAGGUCCCGAGCGUUAUCCGGAUUUAUUGGGCGUAAAGCGAGCGCAGGCGGUUAGAUAAGUCUGAAGUUAAAGGCUAUGGCUUAACCAUAGUACGCUUUGGAAACUGUUUAACUUGAGUGCAGAAGGGGAGAGUGGAAUUCCAUGUGUAGCGGUGAAAUGCGUAGAUAUAUGGAGGAACACCGGUGGCGAAAGCGGCUCUCUGGUCUGUAACUGACGCUGAGGCUCGAAAGCGUGGGGAGCAAACAGG